GUAAGGCGUCUCUUUAAAGGAAAAGACGCUGAUAGCAUGCUACAGAAUUUCGAAAAAUAUAUGAACAAGUUAAAAAAUCGUGAAUAUGAUGUUGGCUUACUUUUGACAAGAGAAAAUAUCUGUUUAGAUAAAGGCUGUUGGACGUCGGGGCUAGCUGCGGUUGGUGGUAUAUGUUCGUUACAAUCGUACGCGAUUGUUGAAGAU